UUUUUAUAUUUUUAAACCUCCGAAACGCAAUUUGCAUCACUUGAAAGCAGCUUCAACAAAAAAUUAACUUCAUGAAAUGGGAGAUAAUUAUUAUAGCAACUAUCAGUCUGACUGACUCUCACAACUCGCUCCUUAGGGAAAAAAAGUAAAAGAGAAGUACUUGCAGAAAUGUGAUAAUUGUGGAAGAUGUUUCAUUUUAUCAAAUUGUGGAUUGGUAGUAUUAUGUUUAACUAUCUCAUGAUAGUACUACAUUCAUUUUUGUUGCCUAAUAGCCUUGUUGAGUAAUUGAUCACUUGACUAGUAAUCACUACAGUGUCAUAUUACUCAAGUAAACAUAUAAUAUAAUAUUAAAGUCUUAACAUUCAUCUAUAAAACCUGACCUUUAUAUCCUAUGUACACUGCAUUAAUGCAUUUAUAUAGAUUAUCCUCCAUAUUAAUAGCCUUCUGAGUUCUGAUGGACUUUCAACCGCAGAAUUACAAAUAUGCAAAUUUGUUGUGUAAAUCAAAAUUCAUAGCUAAAUCUAAAUCAAGAUACGCGUAUUGAAGUUACAAUUUUACAUAUGCAUGGCGCGCAUCUUGUUCGCUUAUCAAUAUCGUUAUGC